UGGCCUCGCCGGCUUUGGGGGGAUGGUUCCAUCAUGGUGUCAAUGCAGAAACGACUGCAGAAAGAACUGUUGGCUUUGCAAAAUGACCCACCUCCCGGAAUGACAUUAAAUGAAAAGAGUGUUCAGAAUUCAAUUACACAGUGGAUUGUAGACAUGGAAGGUGCACCAGGUACCUUAUAUGAAGGGGAAAACUUUCAGUUUCUAUUUAAGUUUAGUAGUCGAUAUCCUUUUGACUCUCCUCAGGUCAUGUUUACUGGUGAAAAUAUUCCCGUUCAUCCUCAUGUUUAUAGCAAUGGUCGUAUCUGCUUAUCCAUUCUAACAGAAGACUGGUCCCCAGCGCUCUCAGUCCAGUCAGUUUGUCUUAGCAUUAUUAGCAUGCUUUCCAGCUGCAAAGAAAAGAGACGACCACCAGAUAAUUCUUUUUAUGUUCGAACAUGUAACAAGAAUCCAAAGAAAACAAAAUGGAGGUAUCAUGAUGAUACUUGUUGAUGCCACUGUUAUCAUCCUCCUAGCAGAAGAUAGUCCUACUGAGAAAAUGAGCACUUUGAUCAUUCAGUCUUUGAACUUUAACCUUUGACUGGAAGUGACCUAUAGGCAAUGAAGACUACUUCCUUUUACUGCAUUUUUACUUGUGUGCAUUCUGGGCGCAUGUUGAUCGCUGGUUCAGUCCAGGCAACUGACAUGCUUUUAUUAGUCAUACAGUAUUAAUGCAGGUGUCAGGAAAUGUCAAUAUAAUUCCAUUUUUUAUUUUUAUUUUUUUAAGCUUUUGGAAAAGUUCCAGGUCCUCAUGUAUUGUGCAAUAACAAUGACUUCCUUGGCGGUUUUGGGACGUUCAUUGCCGGCAAUGGACGUUUAACAGGAAAAAUUUUCAUUAACUCCUGCCACCCAAUAAUUAAUGCAUGAUAGGGCCUAUGAAAUGAACUUAUUGGUUAUAGUGGGAUUAUAAAUAAAGUGAGGGAUCCAACAUUACUUUGAAAGUCACCCCAACUGUUUAUAUUUGGAUUCUAUGCACUGUGAUCCUAAGGUUAACAGCAUGAAUUAACAUGCGUCUUUAAAGGACUAUAAUGAAAGAUCAUUGCGUAUUUAUUGAAUUGUUUAUAUCUGCUGUCAAAUUGUUUUGACAUGGAAGGUUUUCAAGUAACAUUGGCAGAGAGGUACAAUAUUGUUAUCCCUAUGGUGAAAAUAAAUUCAUUUGUUGUAUAUAGUUCCUCAAUCUCUGAAGUAAAGGUAUGAGUAAUCUAGGGUAUGAAUGGUUGAAUCAAGGCUUGAUUUUGGAAGUAAGAACAAUGGCAGUGAUGAUGAAACUGCUGUAGUCCGUAAUUGAGGCUUGUUUGUACAGUAACGAUAUUUCCAAGUAGAUUACACUCUGUUACUUCCUGCUAGCCAUCAGCAUGAGCCCUACUGCCUAAACACUAUUUCAUUUAUUUAUGUUUGGAAAAUCCAUAAAGAGUUUUCGUUUGCAAUUUUGUUUCUUUUGUUAUGUUUUAAGUCAAGUUUGAAUGUUACAGUACUUCAAUUGAAAAGCUUUUGUCAAGUUUUUUCUUGUAAUUUUUUCUUUACUUGUAAGUAUCAUUUUGUCCUUUAAUCCUGUACCCUAAAAUAAGAAAUACAUUUUUGACAGAGGCUUAAUGUUUUAACAAAAGAGUGUGGACAUUUUUAUUUUAAAUUUAGGCAAAAGUAUACUAUAGGAUGGUAUGUUUUCUUAUUUGUCUCACACAACCGUACAGUUUUUCCUGGAGGGAUUUGUUUUAUUUUGUUUUCUUGUUGUUUAAAAGACUUUGCUUACAGCUAGGUAAAAUUUUUCUAUAGAAAAAAAUUGUUGAAACGUCCAAUUCUCAGUACCAUGUAAGUUAAUGAUACUGCAACUAGGUUCUCUUUUUAAAAAGCAAUUAUGUAUUUUAUAAAUUACCUUUUCACAUAUGCAAAAAUCUGUUUCUACUACAAUGUUAUUUUUACUAAUGCCUCUUGUUGCACUCUUUUUGACAUAUCCUGCAGUGAAUAAAUAUAUGAAUCAAUUUGGGCUUAAAAAUAAAAGCCAAUUGGCUGAAAGCUUUCAAAUAUGUACCCCAGCAAAACAUCCAAUCAAUAAUUGGCAAGGAAUAUUUUCAAAAUUGUUUUUAAUCUCUGUAUAGAUGACAUUUUGUAGCUUUGUACAUGUUGUUAAUUAAGGGCAUAUAAUUUUACACUCUAAAAGUAUAAUUGCUGAACUCAGGGGUGGGUAGACUUCAAAAAUAUGUCUGCUGUAGAAAUAACUUGAAAAAAAAAAUUAAAACUAUGGCCAGCCACCAAAUUGUGGACACUGUUUAUACUAUAGUUAGCAACUACCACUUUUUAAAAUUAAACACAUUUUUGUUCUUUCUUGACUAGAUACACCUAAGUUCUCAUAAUAGUCUCUAUCAGUCUGAUCAUUUGGCCUGUUUUAAGACAGAAAGUGUUUUUUGGAAUGCUUUGAGCUACUCUUAGUUUUUAACUGCUUUUUAAUAUGAAAAUUGCAGCGGCAUAUUAUAUAUUUUUCAUAUUUUACACAACUGCUCUAAACUACUGAUUGACUUGAUCAUUUUCUGGGGUGGGGGUGGGGGAUCUUUCUCCGUACUGCUGGUCCUCUUACUAAAAUUCUUUUAUAAAGAAAUGACCUGUGACAUUUAUUCACCAAAGGAAUUAAUAUACCAGGUCAAAGAUUAACAAUGCUGUCCUAUAGAUUAAUAGGUCUUAUAUAGCCUCAGUUGAGUUUUUUAAAACAAAAGAAGCAGUAUUUUAACAUACCUCUUUCUCUACAUAGAGAUACCAUAAAAAUAAAAAGAAGUAGAGGAAAGUAAAGGAAACCAAAUAAUUUCAGUACAUUUUAUGGUUUAAAGAGAAGAUAAGAUGGAAAUACCAACCAUUCAGAAUUUGCAGUAAGAUAACACCUUAUUCAUUACAGUACUCCCUUGAACGUAGGAAUUAUUGGAAACUCCUUUGCACUUAGAUUUAAUUAAGUUAAUUUUAAAUGUAAGUUACAUUAUUAAAAGACAAUAAGCCGUUUACCUAAGUCAUUGCUCUAGAGAGGGCAUUUAAUGGCUUUGUAAUAAUAAAAAGAAUAUUUCUCUGUAUUGUGUUGUUGAACGACAACCAGAAUACCAAGAAAAUGUACAUAGGAUUAUGCUACUUCCCUCUUCCCUUGCUCUAUGGGGCACUAUCUGCUGCAUAGGACUGCAGAAUUAUACUUUCAUAUUUAGACAAUAUGUACUCUCUAUUUAUUUAUUUAUUUAUUUAUUUUAAGGCCAUUCUUCUGGUUUGCCAAAUUCUGUUAAGACAGUGAUACAUUCAUUUCCUUCUUUUGCAUGCUUAGAUCAUGAACUUGGUGCCCUUCAAAAAAAUACAUUACAUCAAGUAGGUAUUAAUGCCAUAGAUUUUAAAGAGAAAAAUGGUUUUCAGUUUUUUUUAAGAUAAAUUUUUUAAAAUAAAUUUUAUGGCUGUUCUCUUAAGGAAUUUACUAUUCACCUUUAAAGGACUUAACUUGUAGUGGAUGAAUUCCUCCUUUUAGCUAGCAAGGAAAUAAAGCUUUUUUUAAUCCCCAAAAGAAAAUGGUAAAAAUCAGCUUUUAUAUACGGUUCAUCUGGAGAAAGAUCUUAAUCCUUAUUGUUUUGAUUAGGUAUAUAAAUAUUUGGUAUAAAGUAACUAGGGUAGUUGAUUAGUUUUUCCCUUCUGAAAUUUUAAAUAUAUGCAAAUAUAUAUCAUUAGAUUCCUGUGGUGAAUAAUAAUUUCUUCAGAUUCUUAAACAGGUAUCUAGUGACUGCUUAAUUAUUUCCAGAUUGCAUCAAAGAUGAAUUGACAAAUAAUGGAAAUGAGUAGUGAUAUGCAAAUGGUAUGUAACCACAUAUUACUUGUUUCUGGUAAUCAAGUCUUAUUUUUUAAAAAGCCUAUUGUUUUUGAGAAUUGAGAUAUUUAAAACUUGUUAAAGCUUCUUCCUAAAAAUAGAAGAGAAGAGGAGGUACUGUGUGUUCAGAAUUUUUUUAAAUAAAGAAUUCAGUGUCACUAGUUCUAAUCCUUCAUGGUUACUGCUGCUUAUAUUUCUUGAUCUCACUUUUAUUUAGUUUCCUGUAUAUAUUUUAGCUGAAUGCUUAGGAUUUAUUAAGUGUAUAUAAAUUGGUUUUCAAAAAGAACUGAGGCUUUCCCAUAUCUUUUCUGCGGAUUCACUGUUACCAAAUCAGCUACUGCACGAUUCUGUGUUAUGCUAGUGCCUUUGCAUGAUUAAGAUCUGUGAAGGUGUCUCUUAAUCUGCACCCCUUGGUCCUAAUCUUCUUUGCAGUCUUUUGUUUGUUUUUAUCUCUCUUUCAUUUUUCUGUCUUCCUUUCUCCUCAAAGAUGUCCAAUAUGUCAGUCUUCAGCAGUUUCCCUAAGUUUUCCUCUCUCCUUCCUUUCCUCCUUUCCUGCCUUCCUCCCUUUCUUCCCCUUUCCUUUUCUUGAGGUUAGGGAAUCCAGAGAAGGAAGAUUAGUGAAAUUACAUCAGAAAUUUUUCUUAAAAGAAAAAGACUUCUUUCUACAAUUAAAAUACAUAGAAUUUCUGAUGCCUUAUUUCGGUUCAUCAGUAUAUGGCUAAAUUUGUUGAAUAGUUGACUACUUGAUAAAUGAGCUGUUAACUAAGUAAUUUAGUUCUUAAAUACUAAUAUCAAGGGAGUUUUGUUUACUUUUUGGAUGGUGACUCUCGCAAAGCCUAAUUAUUGCCCAGAUGAAUUAAAUUAUUUGUUUUGGUAAAAGUGUUUUUCCAUUUAAGGUUUCUAAGCCAUUUUGAGAUUUGGAACUUUUUUUUUUAUUUUAAAUAAUGUGUGGGAGAUUUUUGUUUUCUUAGCAUAAACUACAUUAAAGACAGGCUUGUAUGCAUCAUUCCAGAGGCCCGUGGAGUCUAAACAUGUACUUCAAACUUAGAUCUUUAUCCUUAAAGUUGAAGUUCUGCUUCUUAUGGUCCUGUAAAUGAAGUGUUUAUUGUGAUUUUAAUUCUCAAAUGUUAUUGGGACUUACAUUUAGGGAUGAAUCUCCAGAAUGGUUACAUGAAUGUCUUUUUUUAUGAAAAUUUUUUAAUAAAACAAUAUAAUAUCUGAAGACAUUUUGAAUAUGUGGAAGGAAUGCCUGAAUAGAAGCUGGUAUAUUUUAACAUGCCUAAAGAAUUGUAAUUGAGCAAGUUGAGUGCAGUUGACAGGGAAAAAGAGAAACAGUUUCUUGAUGCAUACAUUGUCAGGGUGAAAAGUUUGCUUCUGCAGUAAUUUUAAGCUGCUUUCUCAAAGGCAAAGCAUGGUUCUGGGCUUUGGCUUGUUAGGUGUGACAUCACUUGUCAAAUUUCACGGUAAAUGGAAAGAUUGAAUAAUCCCACCUCUCUAAUUUUAAAGCCUGAAACAAAUCGAGUAAGGAAUGUGGUAGAUUGACAGACACCGUGAAAAUAAAUGCAAGUCUCUUCAUAGUUAACCACAGAUUAUUGACAUAAAUAUUGAUUAUCAGGCUCAGGGUAAAAUAAUUAUUCAAAAAGAUUAUUAUGUCAGUUAUCUAGUAGCCAAGAAUUAAGUCCAUGUUCAAGUUAAAAUGGGUUUGUUGUUUUUAGUUGGUACCAUUUUUCUCUCAAUAUUCAGAAAUACAGAUUGUGCAUUUUAUUAAUAGGAAUGGAAGCUCAUGCUUUUGAGGGUUUGAAUAGGGUGGAUGUAUAUAUAUUUUAUAAAUUCAAGUUGUAAAAUAUGUAAAGCUACUGCUUUUUGAAUAGAAUAUAAAUGUUAAGACAUAAAUCUAUAUAUUAUAUAUUUUUAAAUACAUGUAUCAAACUUUUGUUAGUUGAAUAUAAAUUACAUUGUGUGCUUUAUGGAAUUCAGUAACUUUUAAUAAUAAAGCAGUUGUCAUUGAUUUAUUUUAUGUAGACUUGAAUAUUAAAUUGGAUAGAUAUUAAAUCUCUUUGUAGUUUAUAAUAAUGUAAAGAUUUACUUAUGUACUAGUUUCUCUUUACAAAGGACUGUGAUCUUCCAAGGAUUGUGGAAACCGUAAAAUGCCCAUUUCCAAAAAUAAGUGCAACAGAAUGAAGAUAGUCACUAAAGCACUUAUUCAUUUAACAGAUCAUGUUUACUUAGUAGUGUAGCCUAGUGUAUUUUAGUGGUUCUUCAUGCUUUAUUUAAAGAAGUCCUGAUUAAAAGAUGGGUGUUUUCAGAAAAGGUGGAAAUUGAGACCCAGGCACUUGCUUAGAGUUACCAUGAGUCUGGUGUUGCUGAACUUUAAGUUGUAUGAUUCAUAAGGAUAUCCUGUAGAGAACUUUGGGAUUCUUUCUUGAAUAUACACACACAUCAACUAACUUACUUAGAUGAGUGGCUCCUGAAGCUAUGAGAAGAGAAAAGGAGAUAAGCAGAAGAAGGGAUAUCUCUCUGCAUUUCUAUUAUUCAUAGCAGGAAGAAAUUUAAUAUGCUCUGCUGAUAUUCUAGGUUUUCUGUUGAUGGGGGAUCUGCUUGCCCCAGGAGCACCUUACUCCUCAUUGGGGUAGCUGUUCUACCAUAAAACUGCCUUAUCUCUACAUGCUAUUUCUGCAGCCCUCAACAAUAGAUGAGUAGCUGGUUAGAUAAAUGCAAGAUCCAUCUUCCUUUGUGCUUUGAUGACACUCUCUCCCUUUAUUAUAAUCCUUAAAAUAAUUUCUACCUCUCAUAGAAGGUUUAAGCCACUGUGGAUAAAUGAUUCUGUUGAAAUCCCUAUAUUCCUUGGUACUUUUCACUCUAACAUACGGCAAAAUUAAAUAUGAACUGAAUUGAAAAAUGACGCAACUAAGGGUUUUCUAUACUUGGAUAAUAUGGGCCAAGGCUACAGUGGUUCUGUAUCUGUCCUGCUGAGAAUUCCUGUCAAUAAAUAUUUUAAAUUGCU